UUAAAACAAUCAGAAUUUUCAGGAGAAAUUUUGCUUGAAUUUGCAGGUAGAACUUCCUGUUCCCCAUCCCAUGACACACGACUGAAUCUGUCCAAGAAUUAGCUGAUCUUUCUAGCAAAACAUCUGUUUUUGCUGUUUUGAGACAAGAGUCUAUAAUUGGGAUCCUCAAAGUGCCAGAGUCAAGGAAGACUGCACAAGAACAGAGGUUAUCAAAACUUCUAGUCACUCCGGAGAGUGCAGCCUCCAGGAUACACAUGCAUGUGUGGAUACACAGGACAUGUGCCCAUACACAUAUGCACCUAUAUGCAGACACUGCCCAUGCUUGCAUAAUACGCAUAAAAUAAAACCACAUACUUCCAUUCACAGUUGAGCUUCCC
rnacentral:lncRNA from 1 species